AUUUACACUUUCACACAGCCACAUGUUGCUCUUGCCCGAUCCUCUUUCUCUCCGCUCACUCCCAGAUUGCUGCCACUGGAUAGCUCCCAUCAGCUUGCUGCAUUGAUUCGGUGCCCUGAGCUUGCUCGCCUCACUUGCAGCCAGCCCCGCCGCUCGAUUCGUUGGGGCGGCCAUAGGGUGACCUCCGACGGCGGCUGGUUUGUCUCGUAAACGGCGAUGGAGGGGGUAGCAGGGCCAAGGUGGAGCUGCGCAAGGGAGGAGGCGAGAUCGUCGAUCUGCAAGGUGAUGUUACUCUCGGCGUCGGUGCAGGUGAUGUGGGCGUGGAUUUUGUCUCCCGCAGCGAGCUUUGAUCCAUCUUUAGUAUGAUGAUGCUGGAGACGUUUUCUGACGCUAGAGCGCCAGCCAGACGCAUCCUCCACAUCUCCAACAUUCUUCGAAGUUCGACCAGCAGUAUUGUUUGCAGUGCAAGGUAAAUCGGUGGCUCUCUGAAUGGUGGCAAAACAACGUUUCCCUGUUGUCAGCAUAGUCCUAAAGAUGGCAUGCUUUUCGCUCUAUUGAAAGUUCUUUCUUCAAAAAUUCCACCCCGUCAUUCACACUUGUAUCUUGGUUUUUCGAAGCCCCAAGUUCCCAUACCAUUCCUUUCCAAUGCCUUGUCCAAGUUUCUGAAUUUGCCAUCAAUUUUAAUAUUAGUAAUGUCUCGUAUUGUUGAUACUGAAAAGACGAAAAAGUAUUUGGGGUUUGCUUCUUUCAUGUUUACUUUUUGUUACUUUUAGUAAUGUACACUUUUUGUUACUUUUAGUCAUGUACAUGUACAUAACAUAAAUGAGGUUCAUGAAUGUCCAGAUUUUAGAUGUUGAUUGUAUUUUAUUGUUGCUUACCUCAUAGUCUCACCAGUCUAGCUGAUUAGUGCUUCUUUUUUGUCGAUUGUUCUGCAACCCUCAUGCUUUGUAUUUCUCUUUUCUAUGUAGUCUUGCCUCUUUAGUUUUGUCUGUUGAGUUAAUUGCCCUCCAUAAACAUAAAUACCAAUUAGUAGAAGUAAGAUAUGGAAUUUCAUUCAUAAGCAAUUUAUUACUCGUGGUGGUGGUCAAUGUACAUGAUGAACAUUUUUACAGGACAUAGUUCCUUGUGGUAAUGGAACAUUUUUUCCCUCAGUAUUGGUUUAGACAGAGUGCAUGGGUAUGUUUUAUCAUGAUUUUCUUGAAAGCAUACUUCAUAGCUAUAGGUAGAACCAAAUGUAACAUGUUUUUUGUGAUUUAAUAGAGCAAUUUAAAUUAGCUGCACUUGAAGAUGUGGAAAUGCAUGGGCGACCGGACUUUAUAACCACUUGUUCAUGGUAAAAUGUGUGCGAUAUAAUUUUAGUACAUCAAAUCCAUUGAGUUAAUGAAGGAAUAUUUUUAUGGUCAAAAAAAUUGGAGGACAAAGAUAGAAGAAUUGAUGUGCAAAGCAUAAGCAAGGUACAUAAUUUGCUUCAUGUAUACUAUACUACCAGUUGUGCAUCAUUAGUGGUAAAAUUUAGAACCAAAUGGAUGAUGAUACACAUAAGGGUAAAACUUUGUGAAGAUUUUCUUACUUCACGUGGAUCAAAGGUUGUUCUUUUGGUGUAGCUGUGUAGUGUGGGACAUCCCUAUGCAUGAUUGAAAGCCGUCUAUUUUUCUUGUCUCGCAGUUUCAUUCUCCUCCUCUUGUGCCUCAUUAGAAUUGUUGCCUUUUUAGUUGUAACAUUCUUGAGAUACCACAUAUAAAAGUUUCACGAUUAGUGAUGGAUCACCUUGUUGGAUUGCAUAUUGGAUUUGUUUUAACCACCUUGGCAGGUUUUCUCAAAUUCCUUGCUAUAUGGCCCACCUUUUCUAUUUUCAUUGAUUAUUCCUACACAAUAGAGAAUGCAAAUAUAAAGUUAAACAGGAUUACAUCAUAAUAUUAUUAUAGAUUGUCGCAAACCUAGAAUUUAUGCUUUUUUAGGGCGACGGACGACUAUGAAGCUCAAUGGCGAUGUGCCCACUGGUCUUUGGACAGGGGAGUACCUUGCUCCGCUGCUUGAGACCUGGGCAAGCUGGCCCUGCUUGUCCCAAUGAAAUCUUUAAUGAUAAAGAUGAUCUUAAGCACCAAUCAUCACGUGAAGGCACAAAUAUUGAGUAUUUCUUAGUAGCAGCUGGACAAAGCCAUCUCUACCUGAUUAAUGAGUGCCAUUUGCUUCUUAAUGGACUUAAGACCUAUGGAAGCUAUUCCACAACCCCAAAUUAUAGUUGAGGAGCCCGCUAUAAUUCUGUGAGAUGGUAGUUACUGGAGGCGGUUUGAUCUCUCGACGGAGUUGACUACAACCGAGGAUAACCAACAGGAGAUUUAGGGGUUGGUGACUGAUGCAGGAAGACGAUGCUGAAGUGCCACUUGUUGGAGGAAGUUGACGUCGAAGUGUUAUUUGCCGGAGGAAGAUGAUGUACCAGCGGUACUCUAAAAUCUAGAGGACAAUGACGUUUUGGGGUGGUCGAAGCAUUGCCUGGUGAAGAUAUUUCAGGGAUAGCUGAGUUGAUCACGUUUGCACGAUGGAAGGAGAGGCUAUUUGGAUGCUGAGAGACUUUAUCUAUGUAUAAGCGAACAUCAGAUUUUGGUUCUAUUUGGAGAGAUAGUAUCUCUAUACACUAUUGAGAGAGUUUGGUUAUGUUCUGAGAGACUUUAUCUAUGUAUAAGCGAACGUCAGGUUUUGGUUCUAUUUGGAGAGAUAGUAUCUCUAUACACUAUUGAGAGAGUUUGGUUAUGUCUUGAGAAAUUGUAUCUUUGUACAGGAUUGUGAGAGGCCAAGAGUUAUUUGCAAAAAAAGAAGAAGCGUGAGAGUUUGGUCAUUGUAC
rnacentral:rRNA from 1 species